rnacentral:lncRNA from 1 species
CUGGCCUGCUCAUUGCAACGAGAUUUCUCGCAGAGACCUUGGGGCUGCAAGAUCGGUCUCACACUCUCAGAUCAUGGCUCCAAUAAAUAGAAAUGGGAAUGGCUAAGAUCCUGUUAGCAAGCUGACCACUGAAGAGACAGAUAACCUCCUAAGGUCUCCAACCCUACCAUCAUUAGUGAUUAGAUCACAGACCCUAUAUCAUCAUCCACCUUCAUGCUGACGUAAGUCGGCCACCGUGAGAGGAGAAGGCUGAAAAUUCAGGCAUCCUGACUCACUAUAAUCAAAAUUCCAUCACUAAUCAACCAUCUGAUCUGGGUCACUACCGUAGGGGUGUGACUACAAAUCUCCCUCUAGAUGAAGAAGCAACC